GACGAACGCUGGCGGCGUGCUUAACACAUGCAAGUCGAACGGAAAGGCCCUUCUUUUGUGGGGUGCUCGAGUGGCGAACGGGUGAGUAACACGUGAGUAACCUGCCCUUGACUUUGGGAUAACUUCAGGAAACUGGGGCUAAUACCGGAUAGGAGCUCCUGCUGCAUGGUGGUGUUUGGAAAGUUUCGGCGGUUGGGGAUGGACUCGCGGCUUAUCAGCUUGUUGGUGGGGUAGUGGCUUACCAAGGCUUUGACGGGUAGCCGGCCUGAGAGGGUGACCGGCCACAUUGGGACUGAGAUACGGCCCAGACUCCUACGGGAGGCAGCAGUGGGGAAUAUUGCACAAUGGGCGGAAGCCUGAUGCAGCAACGCCGCGUGCGGGAUGACGGCCUUCGGGUUGUAAACCGCUUUCGCCUGUGACGAAGCGUGAGUGACGGUAAUGGGUAAAGAAGCACCGGCUAACUACGUG
rnacentral:rRNA from 1 species